GAAGAGUUUGAUCAUGGCUCAGAUUGAACGCUGGCGGCAGGCUUAAGACAUGCAAGUCGAGCGGAAACGAUGGAAGCUUGCUUCCAGGCGUCGAGCGGCGGACGGGUGAGUAACGCGUAGGAAUCUAUCCAGUAGUGGGGGACAACUCGGGGAAACUCGAGCUAAUACCGCAUACGCCCUGAGGGGGAAAGGUGGCCUCUAUUUAUAAGCUAUCGCUAUUGGCAGAGCCUGCGUUGGAUUAGCUAGUUGGUGGGGUAAAGGCCUACCAAGGCGACGAUCCAUAGCUGGUCUGAGAGGAUGAUCAGCCACACUGGGACUGAGACACGGCCCAGACUCCUACGGGAGGCAGCAGUGGGGAAUAUUGGACAAUGGGCGCAAGCCUGAUCCAGCAAUGCCGCGUGUGUGAAGAAGGCUUUCGGGUUGUAAAGCACUUUCAGUGAGGAGGAAAACCUGACGACUAAUACUCGUGAGGCUUGACGUUACUCACAGAAGAAGCACCGGCUAACUCCGUGCCAGCAGCCGCGGUAAUACGGAGG
rnacentral:rRNA from 1 species